rnacentral:rRNA from 1 species
UACGGAGGGUGCAAGCGUUAUCCGGAUUCACUGGGUUUAAAGGGUGCGUAGGUGGGUCUGUAAGUCAGUGGUGAAAUCUCCGGGCUUAACUCGGAAAGGUCAACUGAUACUGUGCGACUAGAGUGCAGAAGGGGCAACUGGAAUUCUCGGUGUAGCGGUGAAAUGCGUAGAUAUCGAGAGGAACACCUGCGGCGAAGGCGGGUUGCUGGGCUGACACUGACGCUGAUGCGCGAAAGCCAGGGGAGCGAACGGG